AAAGUCGUAACAAGGUUUCCGUAGGUGAACCUGCGGAAGGAUCAUUCAUAAUAAGUGUUUUAUGGCACUUUUUAAAUCCAUAUCCACCUUGUGUGCAAUGUCAUUUCACUGGAGGUCAGCGGCUGUAAAAAGCCGUCUGGUCACCUUUGGGAUUUAUAUCUACUCAGAACUUUAGUGAUUUUGUCUGAAAAAUAUUAUGAAUAACUUAAUUCAAAAUACAACUUUCAACAACGGAUCUCUAGGUUCUC
rnacentral:misc_RNA from 1 species